CCAGAGAUAUCUACACUCUACUCACACUUUACAAACUCUCAACUACACUCAACUGAAAUUAAUAUAUCAACUCUUUGCAUUCGGAUCUUGCGUUGUUUCUCGGCUCUCACAUCAAGGUUUUAAAAUUUUUGUCGGCUUUUCACAUCUCCCUCUUGCAUUGUUGUAAGUUCUUUCAAAUAUGACAUAGUGAAAGGAUAAAUUGUUUUUGUAGUUUUGAUUUUACUUUGUUCUGUUAUAUUUUGAUCUUUUCCUUCA